CCUACGGGAGGCAGCAGUAAGGAAUAUUGGUCAAUGGGCGCAAGCCUGAACCAGCCAUGCCGCGUGCAGGAAGACGGCCCUACGGGUUGUAAACUGCUUUUGUACCGGAAUAAACCCUUUUACGUGUAAGAGGCUGAAUGUACGGUAAGAAUAAGGAUCGGCUAACUCCGUGCCAGCAGCCGCGGUAAUACGGAGGAUCCAAGCGUUAUCCGGAUUUAUUGGGUUUAAAGGGUGCGUAGGUGGCUUUUUAAGUCAGGGGUGAAAGACGGUAGCUUAACUAUCGCAGUGCCUUUGAUACUGAAGAGCUUGAAUGAACUAGAGGUAGGCGGAAUGUGACAAGUAGCGGUGAAAUGCAUAGAUAUGUCACAGAACACCAAUUGCGAAGGCAGCUUACUAUGGUUUUAAUUGACACUGAGGCACGAAAGCGUGGGGAUCAAACAGGAUUAGAUACCCUGGUAGUCCACGCCCUAAACGAUGAAUACUCGAUGUUGGCGAUAUACGUACGUCGUCGUACGUACGACGAACGUACGUUAAGUUACUUACCGUACCGUACGGGUACGGUACCGGCCGACCGACGGGUACGGUAAACGUUAAAGUAAGUAAGUAGUACGGCGUAGAGACGACGACGACGACGACGACGAGGGAGGAGG
rnacentral:rRNA from 1 species